rnacentral:tRNA from 1 species
GGUUAUAGCUCAGUGGUAGAGCACUUGCAUACCAUGUGCUAGGCCCUGGGUUCAAUCCCUAGUACCA